rnacentral:tRNA from 1 species
GAGAGAGGCUCGCUAGCAAUGAAGACUGCUAAUCUUUCCCUCCCUUAGUUGAACUCUAAGGCUCACUCA